GCACUGUUGUGGUGCGGCGCGUCGGGCGGGCGGCGGCCGGGGCGGCCCAGGGGCUGCCGCGGGGACUCGGGGCGCCGCCGAGCGGCCAGGCGCUGGGGCGGCCCGAGCACACCGCGGGGCCCGGACACGGCAGGUUCGAGGCCGGGCCCCCGCGCGGGGAGCCACGGGGUGGAGACUUUGCCGCGCGGCGCGGAGCAGGCGGGAGCCGGCGGGGGCCUCGGGAGCCCCAGGGCGGCCGGGCCCGGAUCCCGGGGGAAGCCUCGUGAGCCCCGGCCGGAGCCUCGGCGUGUGCAUCCCCGCCGGGGCCCGGGCUGCAGGAGCACAGAGCAGCCGGGCCUCGCGGAGCUCGGAGCGCGCCUGACCCAGGGCGCACCGUGGGACCCGGGCGCGGGGCUGGCGAAGAGCUGCCCCGCGGGGCUAGCAGCCGCGGAGUGGCCUACAGGGGUCCUCCCCCGGAGGGGCCGGGCCGGGGCGGGGAGAUGAACGGCUUCAGCACAGAGGAGGACAGCCGCGAAGGGCCCCCUGCCGCCCCCGCCGCCGCCCCGGGCUACGGCCAGAGCUGCUGCCUCAUCGCGGACGGCGAGCGCUGCGUCCGGCCCGCGGGCAACGCCUCCUUCAGCAAGAGGGUGCAGAAAAGCAUCUCGCAGAAGAAACUCAAGCUGGACAUAGACAAGAGCGUAAGGCACCUGUAUAUCUGCGACUUCCACAAAAAUUUCAUCCAGAGCGUCCGAAAUAAAAGGAAGAGGAAGGCAAGUGACGAUGGCGGAGACUCCCCCGAGCACGAUGCUGACAUCCCUGAGGUUGAUCUGUUCCAGCUGCAGGUGAACACGCUCCGACGUUACAAACGGCACUAUAAGCUGCAGACCAGACCAGGCUUCAACAAGGCCCAGCUAGCAGAGGUAGGUGGUAAAGCAGAGAGGCCCGGCCUACACUCCUGAGUCCCAGCUACUCCUCCCACAGGUCAUCAAGAGCUCUGCACAUGGGCAGAGAAAGCCCUAGUUCCCAAAGGAAGCCAUGCACAGAGAGGGAUGGACUUUCUUUAAAAGUCACGUGGCAGCUUGAGGACUCCUGGUUCUGAGUCGUGACAUCAUUUUUGCAAGGUUCUUGAUAUGUCCUUACAGACUGUGAGCCGACACUUCAGGAACAUACCAGUGAAUGAGAAAGAGACGCUUGCCUAUUUCAUCUACAUGGUGAAGAGUAACAGGAGCAGACUGGACCAGAAGUCAGAGGGCAGCAAGCAGCUUGAGUGAGCUACAGCCACCUGCCCGUGUGAGGUGGGGGCCGUGAUGAAAGGACAGCCGGGUACUGCUUGAUGACAGGUGGCCUCUGCAACAUCUCAGCCAAUAAGGACUGUUCAUAUCUACUGUAAAUAAAGUUUGAAUGAUGGAUACUGUAAAUGUCUCGGUCAGGAGGAUUAUAUUCUCACAGGUUAGCAUGUGUGUAAAAAGACUUUAAGAUAUCUGCUCAGACUGGGAGGAAAAAAAACCAGUGUUAUAAAAGGAGUUUUAAAACCGUGUCUAGAGUGCUCAGCAAGGCUUUAAAUCAGUUCUCCUAGAAAUGCUGGGUGAUACGCAUCUUGGCCAUCACCAUGCAGUCCCAGGCUGUCACAAGCAAGGCCCAGCCCUGGCAGCGUGGCUCGGUGACAGUGGAAUUACAGAGUAGGCCCAUGUUUGCGCUGACCCUUGCCCACUGGGAACAGAGGGAUGUCACUUUAUUGCAAGUUUUGCCAUUUAGUAGCAAAUCAGUUGGACACUAGCUCCCACCUUGCCCUGUGACCUGUACACAGUGGACGCUCAGAGUGUGCUGGCCAAGAGCUGUCGCAGCUACGCAGCUUCUGCUUCACCCCUCCCACCACUGAGACUGGGGCUUUGUGUUCUCUCUGCUUAACCACUAGAGGUGGAGGACAGGCUGCCCCUCCACAAGAAGUCCAGGCAAGUGAGGAUCUCGGCACAGUUGCACCUGCAAAACUGUUGAGAUUCCAGCAUCAACACAAAGACAUCACAGGCUGGCCAUGAUGGUGCAUGCUUUAGUCCCACCAUUCCAGAGAAUGAGACAGGAUAGUGAGCUCAAGGGUAACCUGGGCUAAAGACCCUAUCUCAGAAAACAGUGAACCUCAGGAUGGCUCAGUAGGCAAAGACACUUGCUGCCAUGCCUGAUGACCUGAGUUCAGUUCCUGGCCAUGUAGCAGACUGUCCCCUGACAGACACACACACACACACACAAAAUAAGUGAUUUAUUGUUUUUAAACUAUAAACAAAACCAUAGCCUUCCAUAGCAGUCUUUGCAUUUUACCCAGAGUAAGGUGUAUAGCAUGACCUGCAUGCCCCUGGCAGUGAGCGCUCUGAUGGCAGGGAUGGGGCGUCCGGGCUCGGGUUUCUGGUCUUUAGUACACAGUCUGCAGGAGAGCUGCCAAGUCCCUGUGAUCCAGCUCCGAAGCCCAGCUCUGGAAAGACAGUGUGGCUGGGCUCGGCUCCUUGGUCCUAGGAGGCAGGAGAUCAUGAGGCUAGGCAAGAAAAGCCACUGCCACCUCAAGUUCAGGGGAAAAAAUCAGAAUCGGCCUCCUUUGGGGAGAAUGCUUACUAAGGUAAUUUUUUCAGUAUUAAAUUUUGUCGUUGUUCAAAUCAGACCCUUCUAUCUAGUUCUCUCAAAACCAGAAGCACCCUGGAAAGCAGAGCUCUCUUGUACAAAGAAUUGUAUAGAAUUUCCAGUCAGUUUGUGGGGUAAAAGGUGUGUGUAGGAGGAUAAGAAAGAUUCCUAAUUUCCAACUAUCCUGUAUGUAUUGGGCCAAAUGUCUCAUCUCCCUAUUCCACUUCAAUUCUGAGUUUUUCUUAAGUCCUAACAGAACAGAGGCCUGGUCUGACAGUUUUAAUGUCUCCCAGGUGGCUUGCCUGAGCGCCAUCUCAGAGCAGAACUAACCCCACACUGAGUGAGUGGAGGAAUGUGUGAUGGUUUCCCUCUAUGGAGCAGAGCGUCACGCUUCUGUGGAGUGGGAACAGGGCCCUUCGUGUUACUAACAUGCAGUGUUCCAUUACGGCUGAGCUCCCAAGAACACUCAAAAUGCAGUCCUGAGCCUCCGUGCAGAAGUUGGUCUCCCUCCUACCACGGAUGGAAACAACAGGAGAGCCCAGGCGAAGCUGGUGUCUGAGGGCAAAUGGAAUCUUUAACUUAACCGGCCCUGUGGAAAGUGUCUUAUCAAGAAGAAAAUGUAGCUUUCUAAUACUUUAACCAAAACUGUUAGCAUGUAAGCCAUGUGAUUGUUUCUUUAAAAUCUAGUUUCCUGUGAAGAGGCUCACUUCUGGGCAAGAUGUGGCAUUAGGCUCCCUCUAGUCCACGUUCUAAGUCCAGAUCCAAGCUGGGGAGUGUCUGCCCUCCAGCCAGAUCCCACCUCAGAAUCCUUGUCCUCUGAUGCCAGCAGCCUUGGAGAAGUAGAGACCUGGGCUAUCAUUUUCACCCUUUCACAACAGAUCGCCUGAGAGAAAAGGCAAAGCUAUUUGAACAUGCUGUGUCAUGAAGUGUGCUGUGUCAUUGGAGCAGCAGUCCCUGGCCUCCCAUCUCCCUGCCUAGUCAUGGCCAAGAACCCACUGCCUUCAAGAAAGGCCCAAGCCUGGCUUAGGGAGCAGCAGGGAUUAUUGAGAGAGUAGUGCUUAUCUAGGCUGCUUGUAUUUUCAUAUCACCGGCCAUGCCUGCCUCCCUCACACAUGCAUGCGCGUGCGCACACACGCGCGCACACACACACACUCAUCUGUGAUGGCUCAGCAUGGUCUCUCUACUUGGUGCUUCUUGACAGAACUGGAAUUUCAAGCCCAGAAGUGGUAUGGCUUCCUGUCUCUGAUCCAGCCUGGUGUGGUUCUUCAAUACACCCUGAAGGGGUCACAUGGAGACACCCUUAGCCUGCCAUUCAUUUGGGGCUUGAAAAUUUUUACAACACAAAUGAUCAGAAUUCUCUCAUCUCAUGGAACUAACUGAGAGAGAGAGAGAGAGAGAGAGAGAGAGAGAGAGAGAGAGAGAGAGAGAGAGAGAGAGAGAGAGAGAGAAAUGGUAAACCAAAAUUCCAGGUGGGGAUUGUGACUCUGUGAAGGAACUUGGCUUCUGUGUCCUGCAUGUUUCUGCCAUAAGUAGCUAUACUCAUAAUAGCCUCUCAUAGAGCAAAGCUUUAAUGUGCAUGCGUGUGUUUGUGUGUGUGUGUGUUUGCACACUUCCUGUUAAUAUUUUACCAAGUGACUGCCUGGUUUGUGGUGGCAGGAUAGCUUGUCCACUGCAGCAGGUGGUCCCUGGCAUAGUCCCAAAGAAGUUGCCUCAUUGAUACCAUCUGAAAGCUCUCUGUGGUCCAAGGGAUCCAAAGGUUGCAAAGAGUCUUGAGUCCUCCCGUCCAGCUUCUCCAUUGGUGCUGACAUUCUGCCUAUACCCAUCCCAGCCAAGAAGCAGUCUGCACCUGGUCACCUCCAAGGACAGAGAGCUCACUACCUCCUAGGGAAGACUGUUCUGUUGUUAGCUUCUGGCUUUUCCAGGCUCUCUAAGUUGGGGGGCCAUGUGGGCAGAGUCUCUCAAUGGGCAAAGGACCCAGUCUUAGCAUUGUCUCACACAUUGUAUCCUUUUUGCAAAAGGGAACAGCUGGAUACAAUGUGUUUUCACGCCCCCUGACCCCUCAGUAUGGGUCUAUUGGUCUUGGUUCCAUGUUGGAAGUGUUGGAGAAAUCCCUCAGCCUAACUCAUGCCAAAGUUGCCAGGGGGGGGCACCAGCCUGCUAACAAGAGUCCACAUUAAUGGAGGUUGUAGUCCCAUGCUGGCCACACAAAAUCUGUGGCAUCUCUGAGGGGUAACAUUAGCUGGAGGGUUCUAACUAAACAGCAUAGGGCUUUGCCUGGAGUUUAAGGUCCCUGGCUUGCCGAGGGCUCGUCUCUUCUGGUUCCCAUGUGGACGCAGUCACUCUGAAAGCUGAAGGUACUGUUCCACAUAGUCACUUAAGGUUGCUAUCCCAUUGUCUUUCUAAGUGAAUGAGGGAAAGACUUUCCCCAGAGAUCUGUCAAGGUCAUGUUAGGGAGGGGCCUUUAUGGCCUUCAUUUGCACACUGUAGACUUUUGCUUGUGACAGGUGACCUAAAAUAAGCUGCUCUGGAAAGUCUCAGAGCUUAUCCCUGGGAGCUUCUCAAUGGCAGUUGGGCUCCAGGGACCAAUAGACCUGCAGAAUUGCAGGAGAGUGGGGAUUGCUCAGCUUAGCAAGAUGACUGGCCAAGGAGCAGACCAGCUGUAUUUAAAACCCAGCAGGCAUGCCCACCACAGCUCCCAGUCAUUCAAGAUAGCAAUGAAUGUGACCCAACAGAGAGUCACAAUUACUUAGAGCAUUAUGAGACUUACCUUUCAAUUUUUGAAACUCAGUUGUGUCAUUCUUGAGCAUGAGUUUUGUUGAUAACCAUUAGGCCCAGACAAGUCAAGAUUGGACCAACACCGGUGGGGUGUAAUGUUAGCCUGCCUUCUCUAGCCUUAUAAAGUGGGUUCUAUCUCUGCCCAACUCCUGCCUUCCAUCCUGUUGCUGAAACUGGAGGAUGGCCCUGGCUCAUGGGAAGUUUGGUGCCUUUGGGGUGCCUUUCCACUGUUUGAUUGGAUCACAGACUGCUUCCAGUUUAUGGUUGGUAAAAGAAAAGUCACUGUGAUGUUUAAGGUGGGCAAAGUGGGCCUGGGGCUUAAGGCGGAGCGACUCCACUGGGUUGUUUCCCUCCUCUGGCACCUCUGAACACAAAGCCUCCCUCUGCUUACUGUUGCGCCCGCCUUGCCUGCUUUCUGUUCCCUGUGAUGCCCAUUGGAGUGUAUUUGGGGGAUGGGGUUAUCCGCUUUGUAACUGCCUUAUUGAAGUAAGUGCCCUUCCAUCCCUGGCCUCCGACUAUUUGUUUUCCUGCCAAACUUGGGGGGGAUGGGUCAUUUGUAUUUUGAUUUUGUGCCUGUGGCUCUGUACUGUUGAAGGUCUCAGUUCUCUGGACUCUCCUUGGCAUGCAUGUGACUCCUGUUGCAGUGUCACGCAGGUGAGAUGGCCUGACUCAAUAAACAAUCUAAAUGAGCAAGAGACUA